AGAGUUUGAUCCUGGCUCAGAUUGAACGCUGGCGGCAUGCCUUACACAUGCAAGUCGAACGGCAGCACGGGAGCUUGCUCCUGGUGGCGAGUGGCGAACGGGUGAGUAAUGCAUCGGAACGUGCCCUGAAGUGGGGGAUAACGUAGCGAAAGUUACGCUAAUACCGCAUAUUCUGUGAGCAGGAAAGCAGGGGAUCUUCGGACCUUGCGCUUUUGGAGCGGCCGAUGUCGGAUUAGCUAGUUGGUGGGGUAAAGGCUCACCAAGGCAACGAUCCGUAGCGGGUCUGAGAGGAUGAUCCGCCACACUGGAACUGAGACACGGUCCAGACUCCUACGGGAGGCAGCAGUGGGGAAUUUUGGACAAUGGGCGCAAGCCUGAUCCAGCCAUGCCGCGUGAGUGAAGAAGGCCUUCGGGUUGUAAAGCUCUUUCGGUGGGGAAGAAAUUGCUUGGGUUAAUACCCUGAGUAGAUGACGG
rnacentral:rRNA from 1 species